AUCCUGUCACAUUUGAACAUGAAAUUUUCACUAGACUUUUAUUUAUGUUUUAGCUUUGUCAUCUAAAGAAAGCAGGUGGAAAAAAUGUUAAAGAAAAUAUAAAAAAUGUUAUGGUCAGAAUUAUGGAGCAUCAUGAUACGGCCAAGUUGAAUAUGAAAAGCAAAAUUUGUGGUGAUAUAAAGAAGGUAUCAUUCAAAGAUAAAAAGUUGUGUAAAGCAAUAAAUGAAGUCAUACAGCUAAUGCACGAAGGUUCGACGGAAGCAAACAAAAGAUCAAAUAAGAAGCAUUUUAAAG
rnacentral:lncRNA from 1 species